rnacentral:rRNA from 1 species
CCCUUAGAUGUUCUGGGCCGCACGCGCGCUACACUGAUGCAUUCAACGAGUCUAAAACCUGGUCUGAUAGGGCUGGGUAAUCUUUUGAAAGUACAUCGUGAUUGGGAUAGAUGAUUGCAAUUCUUCAUCUUCAACGAGGAAUGCCUAGUAAACGCAAGUCAUCAGCUUGCAUUGAUUACGUCCCUGCCCUUUGUACACACCGCCCGUCGCUCCUACCGAUUGAAUGAUCCGAUGAAUACCAUGGAUUGAGAGUACGAAUGGGUUCGCUCAUUUCUGCUGCUCGAGAAGUGGAGUAAAUCUUAUCAUUUAGAGGAAGGAGAAGUCGUAACA